UAAGAUGACUGUAGGUGAAAGCUUACAUCUCUUCGGAGCAUUUUACGAGGUGCUGCAUGGUUGUCGUCAGCUCGUGCCGUGAGGUGUCGGGUUAAGUCCCAUAACGAGCGCAACCCUUACCUUUAGUUGCCAUCAGGUAAUGCGUGGGGACUCUAAAGGAACUGCCUACGCAAGUAGUGAGGAAGGCGGGGAUGACGUCAAAUCAGCACCGGCCCUUACGUCCAGGGCUACACACGUGCUACAAUGGCCGAUACAGGAGGGCAGCUACCUGGUGACAGGAUGCAAAUCUCCAAAGUCGGUCUCAGUUCGGAUCGGAGUCUGCAACCCGACUCCGUGAAGUUGGAUUCGCUAGUAAUCGCGCAUCAGCCAUGGCGCGGUGAAUACGUUCCCGGGCCUU
rnacentral:rRNA from 1 species